rfam:Neotoma lepida isolate 417 scaffold_38778, whole genome shotgun sequence.
GGUGUAGCUCAGUUGGUAGAGUGCUUGCCUGGUAUGCACGAAGCCCUUGGUUCAAUCCUCAGCACC